AUUAACUCCUUAGAAAUUGAGAGUUACUGUGCCUUUUAUAUUCACUUCAUAGGAGUUAAAGUGAACAAGGCUUGUGUUUUAACUCUCGAUUUUCAGGGUCACAUCUGAGAACUCCAAAUGUCUCCAGUGU